AAGUGCGUGAGGCCAACGCGUAGAAAUGGUGUAGUGAGGGCCUUCCUGAGACCCUGCCUCUGACUGAAAGAAUUUCAAAGGCUUCAAUUCACGGUUGUAUCUUCACCCGUCAGUGCCAACCAUUUUCAGACCCGCUGGCCCAGAAACGUUUGUAAUUAAAGGCUUGUUUGAAAAUACAAAGCCGAGCAAAGUAGCUCUGUAAGACUUGCUGACUGGCUGUGUGGUCAGUUUGCAUCGUGUAGCUGCAGGCCUGGAGGCUGAGAAUUCCAAGAUCAAAGAGUCAGAAGAUUUGGUGAGAGAGAACCACAUCCUGGUUCAUAUACAGCUGUCUUCUUGCUGUGUCCUCACAGGUGGAAGGGUGAAUACUCUGUACUCCAACAAGAGUCCUGAAGAGCCAACACUCAUCCCCAAGCUGCUGCACUAUCAACUGCUGUUGGCUCACAGACACAUCUCCUGCUGGGAACACCUCUUGGCUGCAGGGAUCUGCUUCUGCCAAAGUUAUACUCCCUACCAGGAGACAGCGCAUAUCAAAUGAACACAAAGCUGGGCCCCUCUGCCUCAAUUUGGAACAACUCUGAAGGGUCAUCCCCCUCCUGAACUCCCCAGUGGAUGACUGAGGCCUCAGCUGAAACCUCUCUGAGGUCAGUUUCUCCACUGUUCAAUCCUAUCUUCCUCACUUCCUCAGAGGUAUCUCUCUAAUAAACUUCAUCAUGCAACUCUCCAGCCCAGAAUUUGUAUGUAGGGAGCCCACCCUAAAACAACACAUCCUACCAGGGGCACUACUAUCCUCCAACAUAAUCGUGCCAUUUACAUUAUAUGGUAAUUAUAGAAUUUAUUAUUUGUUGAAAAGGCCAGGUCUUUUGUUUUGUAGAAUUUUCCAUAUUCAGGAAUCAGCUGAUUGUGUCCCUGUGUAUAUUCUUAUUCUGAUAUUUUCUGUAAGCUGGUAUUAAUACUGGAGACUUAAUUAGGUUCACUGCCACUCAUUUACACCUGGUAUUCUGAAACCUUUCUUUUACUUUCCUUUUCCUACUCUGUGAAAUUUAAAUAUUGCUUAUCUGAUGCUAAGAAAUGAUGAAAAUCAAAGGUCCCCAGGAUCAGGAGAGAUUAUUAAUAAUUCUAACUCCCUCCCCUACUCCCAUCCCCCCAACCCCCACCCCUGCCCCAGACUCGGUAUAUGCAAC